CAACUUUGGGCCCAAAGGUUUGAAUAAUUAAAUUCAAACCUAUAGUUUUUUUUAAUAUAAUUUUGGGACUCACAAUCCCAUUUUUAUAUUAUUUUUCUCUCUUCCUCUCACGUUGCUCGGCGUUUUCUCGCAAGGGGGGAUUAUUUUCUUUUUUCUUCAGAUUAUAUUGACAAAGAUAGUGGUGAAAAAGGAGUUGUGAAGGGGAACUUGUUAUUCAAGACACAAGGAGCGAAUCCGGCCGAGAAAGCACCAGAGGUGUAAUUAUGGUGUAUGAGACACCAUCUUUUACGUUGCCUCUUAUUUUGGAUUAUACAAUGUAUCUUGUGCCAACUUA